UUCCAUCCAGGAUAGUCCUGGAAAUGAUCUUGAUGCUAUCUGUUCCUCGUUACAGCAGACCUGCUCAACUUCAGCAGCUAGAAGGAGGAUUGUCUUUCACCAGCUGCAGGAGCCUGUUCCCACUACAAGCCUGGUGGAGUCUUCGGAGCAGAUGUGACUGUCCUACUUGUAUAGAGAAGAGAAACUGAGGCUCAGAAGAGACGCCUGGCUGAGUUUAACAGGACCGCAACAACAAUUUUGCCUUUGUACUUUCUGGUACAGUGGUCUUUCCUUUGCCAUCAUGCCUCAGCAUAUCCAUACCGUUUGCAAAGAAUUUUCCUAAACAUCGCCACUGAGGCUCCUUCCAGCAAUGACUCUGGUCCAUCAUUGGGAUUGCUGAGCAGCUGUUUCAUAACAUGAACAAGGAUGUUUUAACCAUGUUUCUUGACCUGGCCAUUUGGAUCCCAAGGAUGUUUUGGUCCAAGAAUAAAUUCCAGAGCUUAGCUCACCUAAGAAGACAGGAAAACUUGUCAGAUGGGGAAGGAUGUGUCAAGAGCAUGCACACAGAUUUACUCUUCAGCU
rnacentral:lncRNA from 1 species